AUACGUAGGGUGCGAGCGUUGUCCGGAAUUACUGGGCGUAAAGAGCUCGUAGGUGGUUUGUCGCGUCGUCUGUGAACUUCCGGGGCUUAACUCCGGGCGUGCAGGCGAUACGGUCAUAACUUGAGUACUGUAGGCGAGACUGGAAUUCCUGGUGAACCGGCGAAAUGCGCAUAUAUCAGGAGGAACACAGGUGGCGAAGGCGGGUCUCUGGGCAGUAACUGACGCUGAGGAGCGAAAGCAUGGGUAGCGAACAGGAUUAGAUACCCUGGUAGUCCAUGCCGUAAACGGUGGGCGCUAGGUGUAGGGGUCUUCCACGACUUCUGUGCCGUAGCUAACGCAUUAAGCGCCCCGCCUGGGGAGUACGGCCGCAAGGCUAAAACUCAAAUGAAUUGACGGG
rnacentral:rRNA from 1 species